rnacentral:rRNA from 1 species
AGUGAACGCUGGCGGCAGGCCUAACACAUGCAAGUCGAGCGGCAGCGCGGGGGCAACCCUGGCGGCGAGCGGCGGGCGGGUGAGGAAUGCGUCGGAAUCUGCCUCUUUGUGGGGGAUAACGUAGGGAAACUUACGCUAAUACCGCAUACGACCUACGGGUGAAAGUGGGGGACCUUCGGUCCUCACGCAGAGAGAUGAGCCGACGCCGGAUUAGCUAGUUGGCGGGGUAAAGGCCCACCAAGGCGACGAUCCGUAGCUGGUCUGAGAGGAUGAUCAGCCACACGGGAACUGAGACACGGUCCAGACUCCUACGGGAGGCAGCAGUGGGGAAUAUUGGACAAUGGGCGCAAGCCUGAUCCAGCCAUGCCGCGUGUGUGAAGAAGGCCUUCGGGUUGUAAAGCACUUUUGUCCGGAAAGAAAAGCUUCCGAUUAAUACUCGGGAGUCAUGACGGUACCGGAAGAAUAAGCACCGGCUAACUUCGUGCCAGCCGCCGCAGUAAAAC